rnacentral:lncRNA from 1 species
GAUUCUUGAGCAGAGUCAUUAGUUACUGCGCCUUACUUGGCCGCCUCCAUAACCUUUAGAGACCAACAGAAACCUUCUAACUCAUUGAUAGGAAUAAUGACUAAGUAAAAUUCACUGACCCCAAUGAUUUCAUGCAUACACUCACCGGGGGUCCGUGAGUUAUCUACGAACACUACCUAACAGAGCAACCAUGGACAUCGACUUUCUCCAUCAACAACGAUAC